rnacentral:rRNA from 1 species
GAUGAACGCUAGCGGCAGGCCUAACACAUGCAAGUCGAGGGAGGAGCUUUCGGGCUUCGACCGGCGUACGGGUGCGUAACGCGUAUACAAUCUGCCUUUCACAUAGGGAUAGCCCGAAGAAAUUUGGAUUAAUACCUAAUGGUAUAUAGGAGUGGCAUCACAUUUAUAUUAAAGCUGAGGCGGUGAAAGAUGAGUAUGCGUUCUAUUAGCUAGUUGGAGAGGUAACGGCUCCCCAAGGCGACGAUAGAUAGGGGUUCUGAGAGGGAUAUCCCCCACACUGGUACUGAGAUACGGACCAGACUCCUACGGGAGGCAGCAGUGAGGAAUAUUGGACAAUGGUCGGGAGACUGAUCCAGCCAUGCCGCGUGCAGGAAGACGGCCUUAUGGGUUGUAAACUGCUUUUGCAGGGGAAGAAUAAGGACUACGAGUAGUUUGAUGACGGUACUCUGCGAAUAAGCAUCGGCUAACUCCGUG